rnacentral:rRNA from 1 species
GAUCCUGGCUCAGGAUGAACGCUAGCUACAGGCUUAACACAUGCAAGUCGAGGGGCAGCAUGGUCUUAGCUUGCUAAGGCCGAUGGCGACCGGCGCACGGGUGGGUAACACGUAUCCAACCUGCCGUCUACUCUUGGACAGCCUUCUGAAAGGAAGAUUAGUACAAGAUGGCAUCAUGAGUUCACAUGUUCACAUGAUUAAAGGUAUUCCGGUAGACGAUGGGGAUGCG